CUGCAUGUUAAAAAAACCCUCCAAACAUUCUGCUCCUCCUCCCCGUAAGGAGCAUGAAUCUCUUUAUAACAUGCUACAGAAAACAAGGAGUCUUCAGGGCUGCCAGUCUUGCAGAAAAGACUGAGUGGUAGUAUAUGCCUCCUACACCU